rnacentral:rRNA from 1 species
CAGUCGCCACGGUAAUACGUAGGGUGCGAGCGUUAAUCGGAAUUACUGGGCGUAAAGCGGGCGCAGACGGUUACUUAAGCAGGAUGUGAAAUCCCCGGGCUCAACCUGGGAAUUGCGUUCUGAACUGGGUGGCUAGAGUGUGUCAGAGGGGGGUAGAAUUCCACGUGUAGCAGUGAAAUGCGUAGAGAUGUGGAGGAAUACCGAUGGCGAAGGCAGCCCCCUGGGAUAGCACUGACGUUCAUGCCCGAAAGCGUGGGUAGCAAACAGGAUUAGAUACCCGUGUAGUCCCUGUCUCUUAUAU